rnacentral:rRNA from 1 species
CGGACCGGCGCACGGGUGAGUAACGCGUAUGCAACUUACCUAUCAGAGGGGGAUAACCCGGCGAAAGUCGGACUAAUACCGCAUAAAGCAGGGAUCCCGCAUGGGAAUAUUUGCUAAAGAUUCAUCGCUGAUAGAUAGGCAUGCGUUCCAUUAGGCAGUUGGCGGGGUAACGGCCCACCAAACCGACGAUGGAUAGGGGUUCUGAGAGGAAGGUCCCCCACAUUGGUACUGAGACACGGUCCAA